rnacentral:lncRNA from 1 species
CGGUGCUCCGGAGUCCGGGAUGCAACAGGGACUCGGGGGGGGGCUUCGUCCUUUUAUAGGAGAGCGGUCACGCGCUUCCCCUCUCAGACCCCCUCCUGCUCCCCCGCCCCAGCCAUUCCAGCCGCCGCCGCCGCCGCUGCCCUUGAGCUCUUUUGCCGGUCCACACGCGUCCCACCAUCACGCACGGAUGGGCGGACCGCGCUGUACGGCGCAUGCGUGAGAGCCUCCAAUUCGCCCGGCUCUGCCGGCGGCCGAUUGGGUUCGAUCGACCCGGCCGAUAAAUUGUCUAUCAGGGCGCUCUACCCUUUUCUCUCUCUCUAUGGUACCACGGAAAAGGCGGUGGCNGGCAAGCGCUGGCUUCCGUCGAGCGGCUUCCCAGGAGGCCUGGUAUCCUCGGCAACCAGGAAUACUUCCGGAAAGGAGGGGCUGGCAGCUGUUUCAGUCCAGCUGCUGCUGAGAAAACGCGACACCGCCUUUCUCAUUCGCAGCCUCUUAAAGAGCCAGGCUGGGCACAAGCGUUCGGCGCCUUUUCUCUUACGACUGUGGCCGCUUCCUUCGCGCUUCAGUCGCCCUAGUCGGGCAGCCGGAAGGGGCAAGCUGAGAAAGCCACCGGGCGCAAGGCCCGCGCGCCUCAUUCUGGUGUGUGUGUGUGUGGGGGGGUGCUGUCCACGCGCUAGUGCGGCCUGCGGCAGCCUCGACCCCCACCACGCUCCGUCCGCCUUAGGUGAAGCGUGGAGCAGGCGGGGCCGCCCUGAACGGCCCCCGAUCUCAACAAGCAGGGCCCGUACCGGUACUCUGGGCCGCACAAAGGCAUGUGGACGAUACUCCUCGGGAACCUUCUCCGGGGCGUUCCAAGCGGCGCCGCCAGAAGCGAGGCUGCCUGAAAACCAGGAUGAAAAGCUUAUGCUAGAUGAAAACCAGGGCCAGGCUGGCAGCGACGGAGCAACGGCUCUUCGGAGGCAGCGGCUGCGGAGGGCAGAAAGGCCCGAAGAAAACUUGUCCAGACGCCAGAUUUGGGUACUGGAGCUAUGGACUUCAGUAGAACUUUCUGGGCAGUUAGUGUUUUCUGUGUGCAACACAAGCACAUUGCCAGCUCCAGGUGUUUCCUUAUUCUCCAGAGCCCAAGGCCGUCGUUCCCAAUGA